ACAACAAUGGUGUACUUGGUUAUCACCCCUUCUGUCUCAGCGAGGUCAACACAGAAGGUCCCCAGUUCGAAUCUGGGCUGAUCCG